rnacentral:rRNA from 1 species
AGAGUUUGAUCCUGGCUCAGAUUGAACGCUGGCGGCAUGCCUAACACAUGCAAGUCGAACGGCAGCACAGCAGUAGCAAUACUGUGGGUGGCGAGUGGCGGACGGGUGAGUAAUGCAUCGGGAUCUACCCUGACGUGGGGGAUAACCUCGGGAAACCGGGACUAAUACCGCAUACGUCCUACGGGAGAAAGCGGGGGACCUUCGGGCCUCGCGCGGCAGGACGAACCGAUGUGCGAUUAGCUAGUUGGCGGGGUAAUGGCCCACCAAGGCGACGAUCGCUAGCUGGUCUGAGAGGAUGAUCAGCCACACUGGGACUGAGACACGGCCCAGACUCCUACGGGAGGCAGCAGUGGGGAAUAUUGGACAAUGGGCGCAAGCCUGAUCCAGCAAUGCCGCGUGUGUGAAGAAGGCCUUCGGG